rnacentral:rRNA from 1 species
CCUAGUAACGGCGAGUGAAGCGGGAAGAGCACAAAUUUAAAAUCUACCUGGUUUCCAGGUCGAGUUGUAAUUUGAAGAAACGUUUUUGACGUUCCGGGUUGGGAUAAAUCCUUUGGGAUGAGGUAUCAUGGAGGGUGAGAAUCCCGUGUAUACCAACCGCAGGGAUGUUAUUUAAUACGUUUUCUAAGAGUCGAGUUGUUUGGGAAUGCAGCUCUAAAUGGGUGGUAAAUUUCACCUAAUGCUAAAUAUAAGCGAGAGACCGAUAGCGAACAAGUACCGUGAGGGAAAGAUGAAAAGAACUUUGAAAAGAGAGUUAAAUAGUACGUGAAAUUGUUGAAAGGGAAACGAUUGAAGUCAGUCAUGCCGGCGGGAAUCAACUUAGGGGAAACUUUAAGUGCACUUCACGUUUGGCAGGUCAGCGUCGACUUUGGAUAUCAUAAAAUGAUUGGGGGAAGGUAGCUCCUUCGGGAGUGUUAUAGCCCUUGAUAGAUGUGAUGUCUGGGAUCGAGGAUUGCAACGGAUAUCCUUUGGGCUAGCCGCCUGAUCUCUAACUGGUGUUAGGUUACGGACAGCAUGCUGACCGUGAUUUAAUUACUGGUUAAAAGGUUAGAGUGAGUGUAAAUUCGUUAAGGACGUU